GAUGAACGCUGGCGGCGUGCCUAAUACAUGCAAGUCGAGCGAACAGACGAGGAGCUUGCUCCUCUGACGUUAGCGGCGGACGGGUGAGUAACACGUGGAUAACCUACCUAUAAGACGGGGAUAACUUCGGGAAACGGGAGCAAAUACCGGAGAAUAUACUGAAGCGCAGGGUUCAAUAGUGAAAUACGGCUUUGCGGGCACUUAUAGAUGGAUCCGCGCCGGAUUAGCUAGUUGGUAAGGUAACGGGUUACCAAGGCAAGGAUGCGUAGCCGAGCUGAGAGGCUGGUAGCCCACCCUAGAGCUUAAACGGGCUCCAGGCUCCUGCGGUACGCCCCAGCCGGCAAUCGGCCGCAGUGGUCGGGAGCCUUGCGCAGCAGCCCCGCGUCUGUUACGGCGGUCUUCCGAUCGUAAAGCUCUGUUAUUAGGGAAAAACCAAUGUCUAAGUUACUAAGCCCGUCUUGACGGUACUUAAUCAGAAAGCCACGGCUAACUACGUG
rnacentral:rRNA from 1 species